rnacentral:rRNA from 1 species
UACGUAGGGCGCAAGCGUUAUCCGGAUUUAUUGGGCGUAAAGAGCUCGUAGGCGGUUUGUCGCGUCUGCCGUGAAAGUCCGAGGCUCAACCUCGGAUCUGCGGUGGGUACGGGCAGACUAGAGUGAUGUAGGGGAGACUGGAAUUCCUGGUGUAGCGGUGAAAUGCGCAGAUAUCAGGAGGAACACCGAUGGCGAAGGCAGGUCUCUGGGCAUUUACUAACGCUGAGGAGCGAAAGCAUGGGGAGCGAACAGG